CUGGAUAUAUAUAAUUUUGAUUUAGACUUUCUGCAGGUUUGUUUGAAUCUUCACCCAAUUAUGACACACAUUUCUAAAUGUUGGGGGCUGGAAUUAGGUGACCUUCGAGGUCCCUUUCAAUCCAAGCCAUUCUAUGACUCUAUGUGUGUGUAAUACUCCAUGGGUUAAUUAAAUUUACAUGAGAUAGCAAAAUGUACGGGAAUCUAGUAAGGAAUAGUACUGAAAAAUAUACAGGAAGAAAUAAUCCACCAUGUGAAUAGCUGUAAAGGACUCUUGUUCCUUCUCUAAUGAACACCUUCUGACGACACGAUUGCCCCAUGCUUACAUUCAGGUUAUGGUUAGAUAAUGGGGCCAUGACUAUGUAUCUUAAAAUUAAAAAAGACCUUUCACCUCUGAUAUUGCUUUCCUGCCAUAAACAAGGGUCAAGACAAGUGAACAACCACUGCCUGUUACUAAACAUAGCACAGUUUAAAAUCAUUGUAAUUGUUGGUCAGUAUUCUUGCUUGCCAUAUCUGAGCUUUGACGUAGAUCAGUUUGGUUUUACAACUUCUGGAAAGUAACUUGAAAACCUCCACAAAGAAAGAUGCUCCUGUGAUUCUCUAUGAGACAUCAGAGGUGCUGUGGGCGCGCAAGUCUGUCUGCACUAGCAGUCAACUAUGUGAUGUCUAAAUAUGCCCUUAAUAACCUCCUUAAAAUUUCCAUUAAAAUUUCAUUAGAGGUAAUGAUGUUUCACUGAUUUCGGUUGUCCUGUUUUGAUAAUUCUCUGUGCUGGGUCUCCUAAAUGGUCAAAUCUCCGAGCUCCCCCACAAAUUUGCAAGCAAAGAAGCCUCAUCAUCCCACUUCUUACCAGGAGAGCCUGUUGUGACAGCUGAUUGGUCAAAGAGUAGAGGCAAAAAGAUCUGAAAGGCUUUCCUGGCAGCUGCAGCAGGAUCUGGGGUCAGCCAGACCUUCAGAGUGAGAGAAGGGUGCUCAGUGGCAUCUCUACCUGGGAAGGAGGAACCACAACAUACCAUGGGUGAUUUGGCAUCUAUCGAUUUCAAGUGG
ensembl:lncRNA